UGCAAGCAGUGUUGAGAAGAACUUGAUUUGGUUCGGAUAUGGAGUCUGCUGGCGCCAUGUCAGACAGCUUGGAUAAGUGGAAAAUAUUUCAGGACCUGAGCGACGAACUAAAGCGGAAUAUCAGGCUCGCAGUCGUAAAUGAUGGUAGCGCAAUUUACGUGACGAAAGAUGACGAAGUUUUCGGCUUUGGGAAAAACCAAACAGGAUUUCUUGGUACUGGCGACAAGGAACCACGCAGAGAGCACACAAAAAUUGAACAAUUGUGCGGACAAAAUAUUCAAGGUGAAAAGCUAUAGUAGACAAUAUAAUGCGACUCGCAAAUAAAACGUUUUAUGUUUUCUUCAGAUUUGCAAUUCUCAUAUUAUACGAUUUUUGCGAUUUCUGCUAACGGCUCAGUUUACGCAUGGGGAAGCAAUGGUAAUGGACAGCUUGGACUGGGUACGAAAAAAGACACCUUGAUCCCAACCAAAAUACAAGGAAUUUUGGCAACCAAAAGAGUUGUUCAAGUUGCCUGCAGCUAUUAUUACCAUACUCUGGCUUUAACCUCGGAAAGAGAGGUCUUCUCCUUUGGUCGUAACGAUUUCGGGCAGUUGGGACUGGGACGCAAAAGAGACCAAACUCUUCCAAUAAAAUUGGACGUUUCUGCAGCUGGGGGAGUUGUGACCGCCAUCGCAUGUGUAUAUA